rnacentral:rRNA from 1 species
UACAGAGGGUGCAAGCGUUAAUCGGAAUUACUGGGCGUAAAGCGAACGUAGGCGGUUAUUUAAGUCGGAUGUGAAAUCCCCGGGCUCAACCUGGGAAUUGCAUUCGAGACUGAACAGCUAGAAUGCGGAAGAGGGAAGCGGAAUUUCCGGUGUAGCGGUGAAAUGCGUAGAUAUCGGAAGGAACAUCAGUGGCGAAAGCGGCUUCCUGGUCCAGCAUUGACGCUCAGGUUCGAAAGCGUGGGGAGCAAACAGG